UACGGAGGGUGCGAGCGUUGUUCGGAAUUACUGGGCGUAAAGCGCGCGUAGGCGGACCUGCAAGUCGGGGGUGAAAGCCCGAGGCUCAACCUCGGAACUGCCUUCGAUACUGCGGGUCUCGAGUCCGGGAGAGGUGAGUGGAAUUCCUAGUGUAGAGGUGAAAUUCGUAGAUAUUAGGAAGAACACCAGUGGCGAAGGCGGCUCACUGGCCCGGUACUGACGCUGAGGCGCGAAAGCGUGGGGAGCAAACAGG
rnacentral:rRNA from 1 species